CUCUUCUCAGGAUCGCACCUGGAGAGUUUCCAAUACUCUUCCAGUCUCGACAACAGGAGGGAGAGCCAAGCAGAGGCCUACCUAUUCCAGUCCUAGCUUGGGCAGUGGCUAGCGAGUGGAAGGCCAUCUGCUACAAGU